rnacentral:rRNA from 1 species
CAUCCGGUCGAUCCUGCCGGAGCAAGACGCUUUCCUCAAGGACAAAGCCAUGCAUGCCGGCACACCACGGCGGACGGCUCAGGACAACGGUUGGAAGCCGAGCGGCGGUCACAGCUAGCCGGACACCGCUGGCAACCCGGCGCCAAGACGUGUGCGCAAGUGCGAGAGCCCGGGGGCGAGCAGCGUGACGGAGCGACGGCCCGCAGGCCCUUCCGGGGCAUCAUCUGGUCGGCAGGGUCAGGGCCUACCGAGGAGACGACGCCUGGCGGAGAAUCAGGGUUCGACUCCGGAGAGCGGGCCUGAGAGACGGCCUGCACACCCAAGGACGGCAGCAGGCGCGGAACUUGCCCAAUGCACGGCGAGGCAGCGACGAGGAGUGACACGGGAGGCGGAGGCACAGGGCCCGCCGGGGAGCCGAGGGCAAGGUCUGGUGCCAGCAGCCGCGGUAAUUCCAGCUCGGCAGGCGUCCUGCGGUGGUGCUGCASUUAAAGCGUCCGGCGUCSACCCASCACCGCCACGAGGAAACGGGAGCGCUCCAGGCAGGCUCGGAGGACCCCUGGAUGGGACGGAGACGCCGAAGACAGCCCAGGCAGCGCGCCGGAGGAGAGCGUCCGGGGGCACUGGUACCGGCGGGGGACGGGUGAAACAGGAUGAUCCCGCGGAGACCGACGGGCGCACAGGSGUCUGCCCAGCACGCCUCUGUCGAUCCAGGGCGAAGGCCGGGGGCUAGAAGGCGAUCAGACACCACCGUAUUCCCGGCCGUAAACGAUGCCGCCCGGCGUCUGGCGCGUGGAUCCCGUCGGACGCCCAGGGAAACCGGGAGGGUCCGGGCUCUGGGGGGAGUAUGGCCGCAAGGCUGAAACUUGAAGGCAUUGACGGAGGGGUACCACCAGACGUGGAGUCUGCGGCUCAAUCUGACUCAACGCGCACACCUCACCAGGCCCGACGCACGGAGGACGGACAGCGGAGAGCGCUUUCAGGACGUGCGGACGGUGGUGCAUGGCCGCUCCUAGCCCGUGGCUCGAGCCGUCUGCUUAACUGCGACAACGAGCGAGACCCCGGCUGUCAGAGUGACAGGACUGCCCGUGGAAGCGGGAGGAGGACGGGGCGAUAGCAGGUCUGUGAUGCCCUCAGACGCCCUGGGCUGCACGCGUACUACACUGGGGGGCACAGCUGAGACGCGAGAGCGCCGGUGGAGAGCCCCCCGUGGCUGGGACUGCGGGCUGGAAUGCCCCCACGAACCAGGAAUGUCUUGUAGGCGUCCACCAGCGCCGGAUCCGUCCCUGCCCCUUGUACACACCGCCCGUCGCUCCUACCGACGGACCCGACGGCGAGCGUCCCGGAGAGGAAGGUCCGCGAGCCCCAGGAUCUGGAGGAAGGAGAAGUCCUAACAAGGUAUCCGUAGGUGAACCUG